rnacentral:RNase_P_RNA from 1 species
UGUGUGGACAGGCGGUCGUGGAUUUCUAUUCGUGAGGAAUCCGAGGAAAGUCCGGACACGACAGGAAACGGUGGUGGAUAACAUCCACCGACCUUUGAUUGCAGGUUAGGGAUUAGUGCCACAGAGAGUAAACCGCCGAUGGAAUACUUCGGUAUUCACAGGCAAGGGUGAAAAGGUGUGGUAAGAGCGCACCGCUUGCUUGGUGACAAGCAGGGCAAGGUAAACCCCACCGCGUGCAAGCGCAAGCAGUUCUCGAUUCACUCAGGUGAAUGUCCUUCUCCGAGGAAUGAGAACGGGUCGCGUGCAAAAGUUUACUGGUAACAGUGAACAUAGAUGAAUGGCCGUCCUAGACAGAAUCCGGCUUAUAGUUCACAGCAAUCA